rnacentral:lncRNA from 1 species
UUUGAGAAAGCAUGUUAUUGUACUUACUGCAUGCUUACAGCACUUGUUGGCUUCAUUCAAGUGCUCUGUGCUCUCUUAACACAGGAGAAGCCCAGGGAGGUGACUGAAAUGGCUACUAACACAGUUCAUGAGAGAGGAAGCAGCCUAAGAAUGAGAGGAAGAAAUAUAUCACCCCAUCUCUGUGGCUACCCCAGCCUUUCCUCUGGGCAUCUAAAGAGUGACAGUCAGCCUGGGCAUUGAAAGGGGUAGUGUGCCAGCCAUCGCAGUCAAGUGAAAGGAGCCCUUUCAUUCAGGCUAGUGGGACAGGAAUGACCCUUUCGUAAAUGUGGGCAGGAGAGGGGCCGCCUGCCAGCUUCACCAGGCGGCUACCGAGCUUCAUCAGUCAGCCUGUUAAAGCCUGGGCCAGUUACUGUCACCAGCAGACUGAGGGAUAACGGCCAGCGUUGCUAAGUUCGCUAGGUUAGUGGAGGCACACUGGGUCAGGGGGGUUCUCCUCACAGAUCAGCCCUUUGUAACAGAUGGAAUUGG